CAGAUUCCUGAGCUGGAGAAAAUGUUUCAAACCAUGCAUUUUUGUUGCAUCGUGAGAAAGGUGUCUGCACUUAUCUCACCAGCAGGUACCAACUCCUCCCCGUGGGCGAUCCUCCCACAAGGAAGGCGGCUGCGUAUUUAUGACAGAGAUUCUGCAGAUACAUCACGCCAGGAAGCUCUUCCUGGAGCGCACGCAUCCUCUCCCAUCCCCGAGGACAUCAGUAGGACUUCAAAUCGCCCUGGG